CAAUCUGCCUUGGAGUGGGGAAUAACGGCUGGAAACAGCCGCUAAUACCGCAUGACGCGUCUGGGAGGCAUCUCUCUGGACGCCAAAGAUUUAUCGCUCUGAGAUGAGCUCGCGUCUGAUUAGCUAGUUGGCGGGGUAACGGCCCACCAAGGCGACGAUCAGUAGCCGGACUGAGAGGUUGGCCGGCCACAUUGGGACUGAGACACGGCCCAGACUCCUACGGGAGGCAGCAG
rnacentral:rRNA from 1 species